AGCAGUGCAGGCCGCACGGCACGCAGGAGGCUCUCUCCAGCCAUGUUGCUCGAGGCUGCACAGUGGGUUCUGACCGUGGAGUUUGAAGCCUCCCUACCCCAGGAGCCUUGGGCCGUGGCUACAGCAUUGCAGGUGGCUGUGAGGCUGUAGAUGUGGGUGCACUGGUGUGCCAGUCCUCGGUUUGUGCACGCCAGGUGGAUCAGCUCAAGCUCAAAGUGAGUCGGCUGGAGGAAGAGUGUGCACUGCUUCGAAGGGCCAGGGGCCCGCCCCCUGGGGCAGAGGAGAAGGAGAAGGAGAAGGAGAAGGAGAAGGAGCCAGACAAUGUGGACCUUGUCUCUGAGCUGCGUGCUGAGAACCAGCGGCUGACGGCGUCACUGCGGGAGUUGCAGGAGGGCCUGCAGCAGGAGGCGAGCCGGCCGGGGGCCCCGGGCUCCGAGCGCAUCCUGCUGGACAUCCUAGAGCAUGACUGGCGGGAGGCGCAGGACAGCAGGCAGGAGCUGUGCCAGAAGCUGCAUGCCGUGCAGGGGGAGCUGCAGUGGGCCGAGGAGCUGCGCGACCAG
rnacentral:lncRNA from 10 species